CCAAAUCCAAAACCACUCCCACCCACGUCAUCCUCCUCCUCCUCCUCCUAUCUAACCCCCAAACCCUAAUUGCACCAUCCUCUGCAAGCACUCGCCGUCGGCCACCCUCAACCUCCUAAUCUCUCAUUUUCGGCAUAUUCCGAUGGAACCAACAUGGGUCUCGAUCCAAGAAGCACAAUAACUCGAGAUACACAGAGAAUUUGAACCCCAAUAUUUCCCCUGGACCGAAACCCACCGCUUCACCUGCGUCGAAAUUGGCGUCUAAGAACGCAAACCCGGUUGUUCGUUCGCCUUUCAAGAUCCGGGAGAGAAAGUUCGUCGUCGCUAAGAAGAAAUUGAAGAAGGAGAACCCGAAUGUCGCUUGCAAGUGCAAAGAGAAGGGACAUUCGAAUAUGUGCCUCUGCGUUGCGUAUGAAAAUCUGAGGGCGUCGCAGGAAGAGUUCUUCAAGAAGCGAAACGAGGACGUUGAAUCCGAGAGUUUGAAGGAGAGCGACAGAGCUGAGUGUGAACUAGAGGAAGUAAUCGAUAAGGGUUUGAGGAUUCAGGACCUUCAAAAUGAUGUGGCAAUGACAGAGAAGGAGGAGGUGGGUUUGGGGGGAGAUGUUGGUGUGGGUGGGAUCUAGGUUUGGGGUGGUUUUGGAUUUGGGUUGCAGGGAAGGGGAUCUGGUUUUGGGUUGGGGGAAG
rnacentral:lncRNA from 1 species